CCUCCUCCUCCGGCGCCCGCCCGCCCCGCUCCGCGGAGGGAGGCGGCAGGAAAGGGAGCGGGGCAGCGGCGCCUCCUCCGCCGCGGAAAAACCAGACUGGGAAUUGCGGGGGCCGGAGUGGGACCCCCAAGCUCCGGCGUGGCCCUCCCGCCCCCCGGCCGUGUGGCUGCCCGGGCACCGCUGCCCAUCGGCCCGGCACGGCCCGGCCUUACCGGGCUGCUCCGAGAUCUCCGACUUCCAAAGUUGGUCCUUCCCCGGAUCGCGCCGAGUUUGCUCCCCGCUGGAAGAGCAGAACGAGAUUGCUCUCUCUCUUCGGAAGGAGUCAGCCGGGCUGCGCUCCAGCGCUGGGCUGGUGUGCGCAGUCCUUCCCCAUCACUGACCCGUUCCUCUCCGGGAGCCUCUGACAAGCCUGGAACUUUCCUGGACAAGCCUGGAAUUUUCCCCACCCAUUGGACCUACUAAGAAAAGACCAUUUCUGCGUGCCUUUUGCUCUGCUACUCCCAGGGAUUCUGUAAAUUAAACACAGAGGAUGUUUUUUCUUCCCUGGUCCGUACUUAGCAAUGGGUCUCUGAUGGUAAUUUAAGGAUGGAAAAAGCCAUGCCCACUCAUUGAAUGACUGUGGCAGCCUGAGAUAUCCCUGGGAUGCUUCUCUGGAGUGAUUAUGGAGACAGAGAGGAUAGGUUUCACUGGUGCUUUUACCUGUGUUUGGGUCCCCAUCAGUCAGUCUCAAGCUGCAGCCACAGAGAGAGAGCGAGAACACACCUAUACCAUCAUCUUUUAACUUUUAACACAGCUAAAAACAGUGUUACCCUUUACACCUCUUAAUUAGCCUGCUGCCUUUUAUGCCUCACAGCCCAGCUUUUACCCAGACAUUUCUUACAGCUUUUUUUUUUAGCACAAUUGUUUGAAAAUGCACUAAAAUAACUUUUCCCUUUAUUAUGACGGAAACUCUAACUUCCCCAGGCAAUAAUUCAUCCACACAUUCAAGCUAACUUUUCCCUUUUUCCCUCCCCAAAUCUCAUCCCACUCUUCCUUAAGUAUCCAUUGAUUGUGUCACUCACAGUAAUUCCUUUGUAUCUCCAGUCUUCCCCUUUCUGGAGGCUAAAAGCUUCUGAGCGAUGCUGUUAGCAAGUGGAAAAUUCAAGGAGUUUGGCUUGGCCUGUGUAGGAGCUGAGAGGUAUUUCUCACACAUCAGAUGGGAAGAGAAUAGAAAGACAAUGGAAUGUUCUUGCUCUCUAUGUACAUCACAGAUGAGGGAAAUAAGACAGGAAUGAGAAUGCAUUUAGCAGAGUCACAUUAGUGGUGGAUGAGUCUCAAAGGGGUCUAGGAGCAGACAGACCAAGGCAGGAAGCCCCAUCUGUCUGCAUGAUCUCUUCAAAUACUUCCAUUUUGGGUCUCACCUCAGAAGGAAAAGAGGAUCCAUCUGACUUUGUGCGUGCCCCUGCCAGCUGCAGCUCCACUCUCCUCCUCCCUCCACUCACAGUAAACGGCACAACUCACACAAGUGGCUGUUUGCAGGGUGAGCUGCACACCCACACUCCAGCUUUUAUGUGCAGAGCACUGACCACACUUAGCACUUUACUCUCUUAAAACAGGCCAAUUCUUCACAAAUUGCAGAAAUUAAUCCAAGUGCAGAUUCCCUCACAGUUUCCCGGUGAGAUACUGAAUCCUCAGACACACCCGUUUCACAAAGUUAAACAUUUAUUAGGAACAAGAACUAUUACAAAAAAAGAUACUCAUAGUCUAAAUAUAUACAUGAGGUUUAAACAUAGCAUUUUCAUGUACCUUUAGCUAUAAAAAUACAUUAGAUUAACUGUAUCCUAAUUUAUAAAUAUAGUUUUUUUUCUUUUAAAAAAACAACUAGUAUUUCAUAUGAAAGCCUUAACUGUGCAAUGAAAGAAAUAUAUAUACCCUCUAAGGGGUUAUUUUAGUUAGUGUCUAGUGUUAUAUAACUUAGAAAAUUCAGUGUGUAGAGUCAAACCCUGAUUUAUACAAUAAGAGAUACAUUGAAAAAUGUAAAAUUUUUAAAAUACAUGAUUUUAAAAACAUGAUAAGGGAAAAAAAAGUGAAAUAUAUAUCAUACACAUAAAGUCAGAAUAGUAGGAUUUAAAGAAUUUUAGAUGAUUUCAGUUUCCACCACUGUUUAUCAAAAAUACAUCAGAGAUACAUCAAGAUAACCAGCCUUUUACUGCUUGCCUCACCUCCCUACUGUCUGGCUGCAGCCCAAGAAAACCCUCAGGUAGGCAAGAGUAAAAUGUUUGUCUGAAAAGAUGUUUGCACUCUAAGUGUUUUACAAAAAUAAAAACUUAUGUACAAUGUUCCCAUUUGGCCUUUCACGGGGAAGGGAGGACAUUUUCGUCACUGGAUGGGGAGAUUUACCUGUCUCACAUCCCAUGGAAGGACAGGCACCUCGUUACAACUGUUGGAGGUAUGUCAUGUAAGAAGUUAAGUGGUGUUGAAGUGCAAUUUCAACGUUCACUAACUAAUAAGGAAGUUUAGGCUCAUGCAAACAUUUUCCUUACUUAUCGCCACCCACCUUCCUUCCUCCUCCAAAAAAAGCUCCACUCAUGCAACAGAACUUGUUACUGACUAUCUCCAAGCAAAGGAAGGUACUGGUUAAAUCCUUGCUUGCAGCAGAGAAGAGAGGUUAGACCUGCAUUUCUGCUUCAAGCACUGACAUCUGGAAAACUCCAGGCAGGAAUCUUUAUGAGUGCUCCCUGGAGAUCUGUUGAUACACCAUAAGGAACCUCCAUGGGUUUGUUCUCAGAGGACAAUCCCAGUGGGAUCACCUGAACUUCCUAACAAGCUGUCACCACUAACUCCUGCACACUCACAGCUCCCGCAGACAUGGGACUUGCUGUCCUUUUGCCAGUGGUUCUCCAGUAGAGUCAGGAGGAGGAGGGAAAGCAGUGAACCCAGGAACUGAAGACAGCGUGUGGCCUGUCAUUAAUCCCCUAAUAAUGUCUGGGCAUGCAAAGGAGUUACUGCAGGAGGUACUAAGAUAUGAACUUGGUGUGACAGCCACUCCAUGGACAGCUGUGAGCAAGAGACAAUCCAACGCAGUUGGUUGCUCAGUGAAGGAUCAACUACUCCAUGCUGGCUACGAGAUGACAGCACUCACAGGGAUAACCACUGCAAAGCUCUGGCACAUUUAGGUCCAGCCAUAGCUUAUCCAUAGUAAUUGGCUUGUACACCCACCUCUUUAGCACUUGGUGGUGCUUGGGAGCACCUGCCUUUUCAUACUGCACUUCCAGUAUCUAUUUUUAAGCUACAUUCACACAGGAUAAAGAAGGAGUGAGAAGAGCUUAUAGUUUUAUGCUCACAACAAUAGCCCUGGCUCAAAAAAUAAAGAGAUGUUCACAAAGCCUGAAAGUUACAGAGAAAGAGAGAGCAGGACAGCUUCCUGCAGCUCUUCUGCUCUCUCCCCCAGGUCAGGACUGGUGUAGGGUGUUUUCUGUGGGGUAUCUGCCAUGCUACAUGCUCAGCAUCCAACCUGGUGUCAUCAAGGUAAGUACAGUGCAAAA